ACUCCUACGGGAGGCAGCAGUGGGAAUCUUAGACAAUGGGCGAAAGCCUGAUCUAGCCAUGCCGCGUGAGUGACGAAGGCCUUAGGGUCGUAAAGCUCUUUCGCCAGGGAUGAUAAUGACAGUAUACCUGGUAAAGAAACCCCGGCUAACUCCGUGCCAGCAGCCGCGGUAAUACGGAGGGGUUAGCGUUGUUCGGAAUUACUGGGCGUAAAGCGCGCGUAGGCGGAUUGGGAAAGUUGGGGGUGAAAUCCCAGGGCUCAACCCUGGAACUGCCUCCAAAACUACUAGUCUAGAGUUCGAGAGAGGUGAGUGGAACUCCGAUGUAGAGGUGAAAAUUCGUAGAUAUUCGGAAGAACACCAGUGGCGAAGGCGGCUCACUGGCUCGAUACUGACGCUGAGGUGCGAAAGUGUGGGGAGCAAACAGGAUUAGAUACCCUGGUCGGCUCUGC
rnacentral:rRNA from 1 species